rnacentral:rRNA from 1 species
UUAAUUGAAGAGUUUGAUCAUGGCUCAGAUUGAACGCUGGCGGCAGGCCUAACACAUGCAAGUCGAGCGGUAGCACAAGAGAGCUUGCUCUCUGGGUGACGAGCGGCGGACGGGUGAGUAAUGUCUGGGAAACUGCCUGAUGGAGGGGGAUAACUACUGGAAACGGUAGCUAAUACCGCAUGACGUCUUCGGAUCAAAGUGGGGGACCUUCGGGCCUCACGCCAUCAGAUGUGCCCAGAUGGGAUUAGCUAGUAGGUG